rnacentral:rRNA from 1 species
UACGUAGGGUGCAAGCGUUGUCCGGAAUUUAUUGGGCGUAAAGAGCUCGUAGGCGGUUUGUCGCGUCUGCUGUGAAAACUCAGGGCUUAACCCUGAGCCUGCAGUGGGUACGGGCAGACUAGAGUGUGGUAGGGGAGAUCGGAAUUCCUGGUGUAGCGGUGGAAUGCGCAGAUAUCAGGAGGAACACCGGUGGCGAAGGCGGAUCUCUGGGCCAUGAACUGACGCUGGAGGAGCGAAAGCAUGGGGAGCGAACAGG